AGUGAACGCUGGCGGUAGGCCUAACACAUGCAAGUCGAACGGCAGCACAGUAAGAGCUUGCUCUUACGGGUGGCGAGUGGCGGACGGGUGAGGAAUACAUCGGAAUCUACUUUUUCGUGGGGGAUAACGUAGGGAAACUUACGCUAAUACCGCAUACGACCUACGGGUGAAAGCAGGGGAUCUUCGGACCUUGCGCGAUUGAAUGAGCCGAUGUCGGAUUAGCUAGUUGGCGGGGUAAAGGCCCACCAAGGCGACGAUCCGUAGCUGGUCUGAGAGGAUGACCAGCCUCACUGGAACUGGGACACGGUCCAGACUCCUACGGGAGGCAGCAGUGUGGAGUAUUGGACAAUGGGCACAAGCCUGAUCCAGCCAUACCGCGUGGGUGAAGAAGGCCUUCGGGUUGUAAAGCCCUUUUGUUGGGAAAGAAAAGCAGCAGGUUAAUACCCCGCUGUUCUGACGGUACCCAAAGAAUAAGCACCGGCUAACUUCGUG
rnacentral:rRNA from 1 species